rnacentral:lncRNA from 1 species
GCCGCGGUCAUCACAGAAUGGCCUGGCACGGUGACCACGGAGUGCCCUGGCACCGGUGCCCGCGGCUGUGACGGAAAAAGGGUGGGAAGAACAGGGAAGAGGAAGCAGAAACAGAGAAAGGUGUCUAAUGGUCUAGUCUACCAACUUCACUAUGCUGAUUUAUGAAAGAAUUGCUGAAACCCAGUGAAUAAUAGCAUUUGCCCUUCUUUCUCAAAAAAGCAGCAUUUGCUUUCUUCUGGCAAGGAAUAAUUAAGCUAAUUUCUCCAUGAACCUUGGAAAAAGUGGCAACGAAUAAUGGAUUUGUCCCUCAAAGAACAUUUCAAGCAAACAUCUUAUCAGCUACAAAUUCAUUUGAGGCAGUUCCAGGUCAGCCACAGGCAAUUUUUCUCAUUAAAAUACUGUUUAAACUGUUGUAUCCAGAUGACACAGGAGACAUAUCAGACAAACAACACCUGCAAGAAGAAUUGGUGAAGUAUUGACUUUUCAUCAAUCAAAAAGUUUACUAAGCAGAUGAAAAUAAUUUGCCUUCACAGUGACAUUUUCCUGACGUCUUGCUAGUACUUAAAGGCAUUGUUUUUUCUUUAACACCCAAACUUUAAUUACCAGAAAAGGUUAGCAUCAAAACAAAGGACAUGUUGGUAAUUUAGAGGCCAUAUCAGAAAAAUAAAUUCAUUUUGGUUUGAAUGAA